UACAGGGGGGGCAAGCGUUGUUCGGAAUUACUGGGCGUAAAGGGCUCGUAGGCGGCCGGCUAAGUCCGACGUGAAAUCCCCAGGCUUAACCUGGGAACUGCGUCGGAUACUGGCGGGCUUGAAUCCGGGAGAGGGAUGCGGAAUUCCAGGUGUAGCGGUGAAAUGCGUAGAUAUUGGGAGGAACACCAGUGGCGAAGGCGGCUCACUGGACCGGAACUGACGCUGAGGCGCGAAAGCGUGGGGAGCAAACAGG
rnacentral:rRNA from 1 species